AUAGCAACAGCAGCGUAGCUGAACAUCUUACGGAUGGCCCAGGGCUCCAAAGGCUCGUUUCCUAAGUGAGAGAGAGCCUGGCUGAAGCUGUAUUACCAUUCAUUCUCCAGCCUCCGAAGUCUCAAAGCAUCACUUCCACCAUACUCUAACUGUCAAGACAAACACAAAGGCCCAGAAACUGCCAGACUGUCUUCUGAAGUGGCUAUAAUAUUUACACUCCCAUCAGCAGUGUAGAAGGGGUCUCACUAUGUUGUCUGGAGUGCUGUGGUGGAGUGGAGUGGCUAUUCACAGAGCCUGUUCUGCUGGGACACAGAAUCACUUGCUCCAUCUCAUACAUUGAUGAUGAUUAAUUUGUAUGUGUACCUUCCAAAAAAGAUGGUUGUGUUUGAAUGGAGGCCUUCUGGACAGGAAAAUUGCAAAGUACAAUUAACAUUUGAGUCUGUCUGAGUCAUGAAGAAAUGGAGAUUACUGAAAAUAAUUCAUUUUGGUAUCUUCUUACAUCCUGAGAGACUAAUCUUUCCAAGUUCAUCUGAGGCUCCUCUUCUCCAUGACAACCUCAUCCAGGGAUUUCUUCCUGUCCUGGUGUUUUAUGACAUAAUCACAUCCUUCCUGAGAUAAUGAGCACACAAUUGCCUGGAUACCUGAAGGAAUGGAGACAGCGGCAGAAAACACUGCAGAGAGGUGGAAACAUCCGUUAAUAUUUUAAAAUCCCAUUACUGCUACCAACAAUAAUAAUGGAUGCAUAGAAAUAGAUCUGGAUUAGCUGAGCUUGAAACAGUCCAUCUCACACACACACAAAAGAAUUUCAGAUACAGUGAACCCACAUGUUGAAGCUUUCUAGUAUAAUAAAAAUUUCAACUGUUCUGUUGAAUCAUCUGCCUGAUUGGAGGCUACAGAAAAGAUGUCAUCUUAGGAGUGCUUGCUCUGAGUGAGGCUCAUCUUCAAAUCUGAAUGACCACAAGGAGAUUUGAUUAUACAUGUGAACACCUCAGAAGGCACAGCCCACCCAGAAGGCAGACAGGAGGAGACAGACACUAGAGCUCACCGGCUCGCCCUCUCACUCCUACUCAUCUGAGAAGGCAGCCAGCUAACCCUUCAGCCAGGAAGAGGGUCCUCAUCAGAACCUGGCCGUGGUGGCAUCCAGAUCUUGAACCUCCGGACUCCAGACUGUGAGAAAAUAAGUGUGUUGUUUAAACUA
rnacentral:lncRNA from 1 species